GAUGAACGCUGGCGGCGUGCCUAAUACAUGCAAGUCGAGCGAACAGACGAGGAGCUUGCUCCUCUGACGUUAGCGGCGGACGGGGGAGUAACACGUGGAUAACCUACCUAUAAGACUGGGAUAACUUCGGGAAACCGGAGCUAAUACCGGAUAAUAUAUUGAACCGCAUGGUUCAAUAGUGAAAGACGGUUUUGCUGUCACUUAUAGAUGGAUCCGCGCCGCAUUAGCUAGUUGGUAAGGUAACGGCUUACCAAGGCAACGAUGCGUAGCCGACCUGAGAGGGUGAUCGGCCACACUGGAACGGAGACACGGUCCAGACUCCUACGGGAGGAAGCAGUAGGGAAUCUUCCGCAAUGGGCGAAAGCCUGACGGAGCAGCGCCGCGGGAUGGAUGAAGGUCUUCGGAGCGUAAAACUCUGUUAUUAGGGAAGAACAAAUGUGUAAGUAACUAUGCACGUCUUGACGGUACCUAAUCAGGAAGCCACGGCUAACUACGUG
rnacentral:rRNA from 1 species